rnacentral:rRNA from 1 species
GCGCGAAAACUUUACAAUGCGGGAAACCGUGAUAAGGGGACACCGAGUGCCAGCAUCAUAUGCUGGCUGUCCGGGUGUGUAAAAUACACCGUUAGCAAGGGCCGGGCAAGACCGGUGCCAGCCGCCGCGGUAACACCGGCGGCCCGAGUGGUGAUCGUGAUUAUUGGGUCUAAAGGGUCCGUAGCCGGUUUGGUCAGUCCUCCGGGAAAUCUGAUAGCUCAACUAUUAGGCUUUCGGGGGAUACUGCCAGGCUUGGAACCGGGAGAGGUAAGAGGUACUACAGGGGUAGGAGUGAAAUCUUGUAAUCCCUGUGGGACCACCUGUGGCGAAGGCGUCUUACCAGAACGGGUUCGACGGUGAGGGACGAAAGCUGGGGGCACGAACCGGAUUAGAUACCCGGGUAGUCCCAGCCGUAAACGAUGCUCGCUAGGUGUCAGGCAUGGCGCGACCGUGUCUGGUGCCGCAGGGAAGCCGUGAAGCGAGCCACCUGGGAAUACGGCCGCAAGGCUGAAACUUAAGGAAUUGGCGGGGGAGCACAACAACGGGUGGA